rnacentral:rRNA from 1 species
UACGGGGGGAGCAAGCGUUGUUCGGAUUUACUGGGCGUAAAGGGCGCGUAGGCGGCCAGCACAAGUCAGUUGUGAAAUCUCCGGGCUUAACUCGGAACGGUCAAGUGAUACUGUCGUGCUAGAGUACAGAAGGGGCAACUGGAAUUCUCGGUGUAGCGGUGAAAUGCGUAGAUAUCGAGAGGAACACCUGCGGCGAAGGCGGGUUGCUGGGCUGAUACUGACGCUGAGGCGCGAAAGCCAGGGGAGCGAACGGG